AGCUGCGGGGCGGAGGUGGAGGCGAGGCCUGCGGCUGCGGGGAGCGGCAGGCCGGGAGUGGGCGCGGGAGCCGAGCCGAGCCGAGCCGGAGUGGGCGCCGGAGGCCGGCGCGGCGAGCAGCAACCAUGUCGGUGUUCGGGAAGCUGUUCGGGGCUGGAGGGGGUAAGGCGGGCAAGGGCGGCCCGACCCCCCAGGAGGCCAUACAGCGACUUCGGGACACGGAGGAAAUGCUAAGCAAGAAACAAGAGUUUCUGGAGAAGAAGAUCGAGCAGGAGCUGACGGCUGCCAAGAAGCACGGCACCAAAGCGGCCUUGCAGGCUCUGAAGCGCAAGAAGAGGUAUGAGAAGCAGCUGGCACAGAUUGAUGGCACCCUGUCAACCAUCGAGUUCCAGCGGGAGGCCCUAGAGAAUGCCAACACCAACACGGAGGUGCUCAAGAACAUGGGCUAUGCCGCCAAGGCCAUGAAGGCUGCCCACGACAACAUGGACAUUGAUAAAGUGGAUGAGUUAAUGCAGGACAUUGCUGACCAGCAAGAACUUGCAGAAGAGAUUUCCACAGCUAUCUCCAAACCUGUGGGCUUUGGAGAAGAGUUUGACAGGAUGAGCUCAUGGCAGAGCUGGAGGAACUCGAACAAGAGGAGCUAGACAAGAAUUUGUUGGAGAUCAGUGGGCCCGAAACAGUCCCUCUACCAAAUGUCCCCUCUGUAGCCCUACCAUCCAAACCCGGAGGUGCCUGCUGUUUAUAAUGUUGAAUUUCUGUAAAAUAAACUGUAUUUGCAAAUCCAACACUGAGCUUCUGGACUACGCUAACCCCACUGCUGAGGCCUCUGUGGAGAGGGUCGGCCAUUUGCAGUUGAAACAACCUGGAGAAUAUAGCCCGUGUCCUUUAAAUCAGCUGACUUGUCUCACAUUUCUCUGUAGGACGUGUACGGUACUGGCAGGAGAGUCAUUUUUAAAGCCAUAGAUAGGCUUUUCCUCGUUCUUAGCUGUAAUAACAUACCUGGUUUGAUUCCUCAAGAGCUGUGUUUCUGUCUGUCACCUGUGUACUGGCCCCAUGUGUACCUCCCUGCCCUUGUCACUCCUGCCCCCCAGUCUUUUGGAGUCUGUGACACGGAUCUGAAGUGGAUGUGCUCUCUUGCGAGCAGAUGAGAUUGUUAGAAUUAAGCUCCAGCUAUCCAGUUUUCUAACAUAGCUCUAAGGUCCUCAUUGCUGUUUGUGAUAAUUGGUACAUAACUCAUUGGAAACAUGUGCAUACAUUUAUAUUCAGAUGAAAUUAUGGUUUGCACUGUCUAUUAAAUAUCUUGAUUUAAUUUUCAU
rnacentral:lncRNA from 1 species